ACACACACAUCUGAGCGCGCUACAGCUAAAGAGAGAAGCCCCAUCAUCCAAAUCCGCGAUCAAGUCGUCUCAUCAGCUCAGCUCACGUGUUUUUGGGUGUUGGACCAGCAUCCCGAGCAGAGUGCGCGCAACCGCCCGGGUCCGAUAGGCUCUCCAAGAUCAGCCUAUAUAUACAGGGACUGUGUUCAUGUCCAUAACUUGUGUUGUCUGUGGGACCGGAGACAGUGGGUGAGGCCCUGCCUCUUCCAAAGCACCCUGUGUCCAGAGCAGAAGUAGGUCAACGGAGACCGCCGUUUGGUCAGAGUCCAUCACUACUCCCAGGGCUGACCUUCCCUUCAUCCAGGGGUUUAUGCAGGCCAAGGAUUAGAAAAAGGAGACCUGACAUCUCCGCAGACACACGUGGAUAUAAAGGCAUUUUUGCACCUCAGGACCUGCCCGGCCGGCCCGAUUGGAACAGUUCAAAUUGGAGGGUGGAACUGGACUGUAAGGGCAAAUGCAAAGAUGCCAAAUCUAAAAAGACUUAAACUGUUCAGAUUUUUAUCUAGAGGUUGUUGCUACAGAGUGCUGUUUGUUUUUUUUAAUCUCUAUUUUAUCACCCAUAAAGUUUAUAUAUUUAUAUUUAUGCCUGCACACUGUAAAACUGAAGUCAAAUUCUUUGUUUGUACCCACAAAUUGGCCAAUAAAGCUAUUCUGAUUCUGAUGUAACUUUUGCAGGAAGACAUGUGCCGUUUUAGCAGAAAAGUCAACAGAAAGUCAUGUUUAGAAGUAGCAGUGGUAAACAAGUAACUUUAUUACAUGGAAAUUAUUAUUAUUUUUUUGUUGAAAGACAUGUAACUUUAGAAAAUGAACACAUGUUGCAAGAGAGAAAAAAACCCGGUAGCUUUGGCAGAAAAUCAUGUGUUGCUUUAAAGGUGCAAUAUUAUGUAUUUCCCAGACCCAUAGUGUCACAUUCAAGUAACUAUGUUUCCUUCAAACUACAUAUCAGACAUGACUUCGACUUUGCAAUUUAAUGUCUUGAAAUUGGGCCUCUGUCUCUUUAAGAAACUCCUGCCUUCAGCACAUCACCACAACAACCAUUCUUCAUUAAGUCGUUCUGAUUGUCAUUGGACUGAGAAGCAGUUCCUAUGAUGAGGCUCAAAAGAUCCACCAGGUGGUGCUUGACAUUUGCUGCUGCCACUAGUCUAGAGGAGCUGCCUGGGGAAGGCAUGGGGGAUAUGCGCUCUGUACUGGGGUAAGGCAAUUCCUGGUGAGCGUGAGCGCGUAGGCAUCCUGAAUGGCUGCCACAGGAAAUGAAAGGAUUUCUCAAACAUGCAUGAAGGAAUCAAAGCAACACAUGACGGAAUAACAUUAUAAUAUAGUGAAAAGCUCACAAAAGGUGAUUUAACAUAACACCCACCGUAUAAAACAUAGAAAAAUCCUACACUAGUUUUGUAGAAAGACAGGGAUGGUUUUAGCUCUGUCAAGAAAUAACAUCUAAAUUCACCUUUUCAUUCUUUUUGUCUACAUUUCUAUAAUAUCUGACAUUUAGAGAUUCAAGCUUAUCUCUGGUGAGUGCUCUCUGAAACUUUUUGCUGUGACUAAUUUGCCUAAAAGAUCUUCUCACUCACGUCCUUCACACAUGUCUAUGUGCAGAGGCACUCCCACUCUGAAACGAGCCUGGGUUUUACUGAGCACAGUUGGCACUGUUCAAAACCAGUGAUGUCAUUCUGGUGUAUUGGCCAGCAAUUCAGCGAUCAGCAAGUUUCUGAAAUGAGGAAUGGCAUAGAUGAGCUGGUAGUACAACUGAAGACAUCGUGUCGUUAAAAUAAAGAUGGAGAAGUGAUGUGUGCAGGUUUUUAUUUUUAUUUUAGAGUGGAAGUGUGCUAAAAAAGUUCCCCCAAAAUACAUUUUAUAAAACUCAAAAUGCUAAGAAAUCAGCUGUAUUCUUUAGUGACAGUGAUGUGAUCUUUGUUUUUCUUUUUUUUUUCUUUUUUUAAUGGCAUAUGUGUGUUUGUGUUGAGGAGGGGAUUUCAUUAAAGUCCUAGAGCUGCUCUGUAAGGUUCAGGGCUUCAGUCAUGGCGUUUGCCCAUCUGUUCCCUGAGAACAGGCCAAGACCCCCGUCACCUCCACCUGCUUCAGCCUCCAGAGGGGACCAGGGCUAAUUUUGCAUCAACAAGGAAGCUCUUUGUGUACACGAUGCGGGGAUAGAUGUUCUUACGGAUUGUUGGAAAACUAGGAAUCACAUUUUUAUGCCUAUCCAGAAAGAAAAUUAUUACUUAGCUGAAGACGGAAACAAAACAAAAUACAAAUCUAUAUCAAGUACUUAGCUUAUGGUUUUUGUAAAAAAAAAAAAAAAAAAAAAAAAAUAGAGAAAAGUUUACUCUUAUUAAUCUAAUGUUCCAAAUGGCUGGAACAGCAAAUAAUUGAUGACUUUUUCUUUCUUAUAACCAGAGAUUUGGAUUCAAAGUUAAAUUUAUCAACAAAUAAUGGACGGACUGAAACGUGACAUUUUUGGAUUAUUAUUCAAGUGCCACUAUAAUUUUUUUAAAACUAAAAUCUAGUAAU